AUUGAACGCUGGCGGCAGGCUAACACAUGCAAGUCGAACGGUAGCACAGAGAGCUUGCUCUCGGGUGACGAGUGGCGGACGGGUGAGUAAUGUCUGGGAAACUGCCCGAUGGAGGGGGAUAACUACUGGAAACGGUAGCUAAUACCGCAUAACGUCGCAAGACCAAAGUGGGGGACCUUCGGGCCUCACACCAUCGGAUGUGCCCAGAUGGGAUUAGCUAGUAGGUGGGGUAAUGGCUCACCUAGGCGACGAUCCCUAGCUGGUCUGAGAGGAUGACCAGCCACACUGGAACUGCGACACGGUCCAGAUUCCUACGGGAGGCAGCAGUGGGGAAUAUUGCACAAUGGGCGCAAGCCUGAUGCAGCCAUGCCGCGUGUAUGAAGAAGGCCUUCGGGUUGUAAAGUACUUUCAGCGGGGAGGAAGGCGGUGAAGUUAAUAACUUCACCGAUUGACGUUACCCGCAGAAGAAGCACCGGCUAACUCCGUGCCAGCCGCCGCAGUAA
rnacentral:rRNA from 1 species